AUGAUGGCAGCACCCACGGCUGAGCUCCCGGCCGCCGACCACCUGGAUACUCCCAUGAUCGCAUCCUGCACGCCCAUCCGCGUGAUCCUGGCCGCCACGGACGCCCUCGCUGGCGAGCGCGUGGUCGUGGGCGGCUGGGUCCGGGCCGGCCGCGUCCAGUGCAGUGGCACCAUGGUCUUCCACGCCAUCAGCGACGGCUCCUGCCAAGCCAGCCUGCAGCUCGUCGUCGAAGGGGCCCAGGUGGCGCACCCGCCACUCGCUCGCCUCGGCCACGGGGACCUCCGUGGUCGUCUCUGCUGUGCUCCGGGUCCCGCCCUGGAAGAGCAAGGAGCGCAUCGAGCUGAGCGUCGAGGGCGUCAUCGAGGCCGGUGA
rnacentral:rRNA from 1 species